rnacentral:rRNA from 1 species
GGUCUUUUGGUUUUUAUAUAAGAUUUGGCCUGCCCGCUGAUUAUAUAUUUAAUGGCUGCAGUAUUUUGACUGUACAAAGGUAGCAUAAUCAUUUGUCCUUUAAUUGGGGGCUGGAAUGAAUGGUUUUAUGAAAUAUAUUCUUUCUUUUUUUUAAAAAAAAACUUAAUUUUUAAGUGAAAAAGCUUAGAUAAUUUUAAGGGACGAGAAGACCCUAUAGAAUUUCAUUUAUUUUUUUAAUAAAAAAAUCUAAAUUUAAAUUUUUUAUUUAAAAUAUAAAUUUUACUGGGGUUGUAAAAAAAAAUUAAUAAUUUUUUUUAUUAUUAGACAAUUAUGUUUGUUUUUUUGAUCCAAUUUUAUUGAUUAAAAGAUUAAAUUACCUUAGGGAUAACAGCGUUAUUAUUUUGGAGAGUUCUUAUUGAUAAAAUAGUUUGCGACCUCGAUGUUGGAUUAAAAUUAAUUCCAGGUGUAGCAUUUUGGUGGAUUAAGUCUGUUCGACUUUUGAAUUUUU